UACGUAGGGGGCAAGCGUUGUCCGGAAUCAUUGGGCGUAAAGAGCGCGUAGGCGGCCCGAUAAGUCCGCUGUGAAAGUCAAGGGCUUAACCCUUGAAUGCCGGUGGAAACUGUCGGGCUAGAGUCCGGAAGAGGCGAGUGGAAUUCCCAGUGUAGCGGUGAAAUGCGUAGAUAUUGGGAGGAACACCAGUGGCGAAGGCGGCUCACUGGACCGGAACUGACGCUGAGGCGCGAAAGCGUGGGGAGCAAACGGG
rnacentral:rRNA from 1 species